UACGUAGGGCGCAAGCGUUAUCCGGAAUUAUUGGGCGUAAAGAGCUCGUAGGCGGUUUGUCGCGUCUGCCGUGAAAGCCCGGGGCUUAACCCCGGGUCUGCAGUGGAUACGGGCAGGCUAGAGUUCGGCAGGGGAGACUGGAAUUCCACGUGUAGCGGUGAAAUGCGUAGAGAUGUGGAGGAACACCAAUGGCGAAGGCAGCCCUCUGGGCCGUUUCUGACGCUGAGGCGCGAAGGCUAGGGGAGCGAACGGG
rnacentral:rRNA from 1 species